GCCUGGGUAGCUCAGUCGGUUAAGCGUCUGACUUCGGCUCAGGUCAUGAUCUCAUAGCUCGUGAGUUCUAGCCCCGCGUCAGGCU
rnacentral:tRNA from 1 species